GGAAUAUUGGGCAAUGGAGGAAACUCUGACCCAGCGACGCCGCGUGCGGGAAGAAGGCUUUCGGGUUGUAAACCGCUUUCAGUAGGGAAGAAGCGAAAGUGACGGUACCUACAAAAGAAGCACCGGCUAACUAUGUGCCAGCAGCCGCGGUAAUACAUAGGGUGCAAGCGUUGUCCGGAAUUAUUGGGCGUAAAGAGCUCGUAGGUCGUUUGUUACGUCGGAUGUGAAAACCUGAGGCUCAACCUCAGGCCUGCAUUCGAUACGGGCAAACUAGAGUUUGGUAGGGGGGACUGGAAUUCCUGGUGUAGCGGUGGAAUGCGCAGAUAUCAGGAGGAGCACCAAUGGCGAAGGCAGGUCUCUGGGCCAAUACUGACACUGAGGAGCGAAAGUCUGGGGAGCGAACAGGAUUAGAUACCCUGGUAGUCCAGACCGUAAACGGUGGGCACUAGUUGUGGGAACCUUCCACGGUUUCUGCGACGCAGCUAACGCAUUAAGUGCCCCGCCUGGGGAGUACGAUCGCAAGGUUAAAACUCAAAUGAAUUGACGG
rnacentral:rRNA from 1 species